GAGGCUUUAGCUUAAUUAAAGCGCUUGAGUUGCAUUCAGGGGAUGUAGAUUAGAGUUUUACAGGCCUUC
rnacentral:tRNA from 1 species